GGGUUAAAACUCCCAGGGACUCUUCGUUGCUGCCACCUCUUGUUCUCUCCCCCGUUCCCACUCGGUGUCUCCCUCAGGGCCGGGAGGCACAGCGGUCCCUGCUUGCUGAGGGGCUGGAUGUACGCAUCCGCAGGUUCCCGCGGACUUGGGGGCGCCCGCUGAGCCCCGGCGCCCGCAGAGGGUUUGUGUUUGCCUCCUGCAUCCUCAACCCGGAGGGCAGCGAGGGCCUACCACCAUGAUCACUGGUGUGUUCAGCAUGCGCUUGUGGACCCCCGUGGGCGUCCUGACCUCGCUGGCCUACUGCCUGCACCAGCGGCGGGUGGCCCUGGCCGAGCUGCAGGAGGCCGAUGGCCGGCGUCCGGUAGAUCGCAGCCUGCUGAAGUUGAAAAUGGUGCAGGUCGUGUUUCGACACGGGGCGCGGAGUCCUCGCAAGCCGCUCCCGCUGGAGGAGCAGGUAGAGUGGAACCCCCAGCUAUUAGAGGUCCCACCCCAAACUCAGUUUGAUUACACAGUCACCAAUCUAGCUGGUGGUCCGAAACCAUAUUCUCCUUACGAUGCUCAAUACUGUGAGACCACCCUGAAGGGGGGCAUGUUUGCUGGGCAGCUGACCAAGGUGGGCAUGCAGCAGAUGUUUGCCUUGGGAGAGAGACUGAGGAAGAACUACGUGGAAGACAUUCCCUUUCUUUCACCAACCUUCAACCCACAGGAGGUCUUUAUUCGUUCCACUAACAUUUUUCGGAAUCUGGAGUCCACCCGUUGUUUGCUGGCUGGGCUUUUCCAGUGUCAGAAAGAAGGACCCAUCAUCAUCCACACUGAUGAAGCAGAUUCAGAAGUCUUGUAUCCCAACUACCAAAGCUGCUGGAGCCUGAGGCAGAGAACCAGAGGCCGGAGGCAGACUGCCUCUUUACAGCCAGGAAUCUCAGAGGAUUUGAAAAAGGUGAAGGACAGGAUGGGCAUUGACAGUAGUGAUAAAGUGGAUUUCUUCAUCCUUCUGGACAACAUGGCUGCCGAGCAGGAGAAGAUGGGCUCCUGCAGGUUCCAUGGAAGCUGAUCAGCUGCCAGAAUCAGUGGGUGAGAAGCAUUUUUUUCUAAAACUACAUGUGGCCCUUUCAGGCACACAACCUCCCAAGCUGCCCCAUGCUGAAGAGAUUUGCACAGAUGAUUGAACAGAGAGCUGUGGACACAUCCUUGUACAUACUGCCCAAGGAAGACAGGUGAGGGGCCUCUCACUGCUGGCAUGAAGUCAUGCUUGGUCAGACAUCCAAGUGUAUGGGGAAGAGGAGUUCAUCAGGCCCACUCACACCUGGCAGCUGAUGUCUUCUUGUGUAAGGAGGCUGAACCCCACUCUGCCCACCUGCCAGUAGGCACUAGGUCCUCGCACUUCUGCAGCUGGGACUGGUGACCUAGUGCUUCUGUUCCCUGUUAUGCAGAACCAGGAGCCACCACCCUCAUGACUUUAUCACUUGCCUUUUCCUUUUGCUUUAAGGUUUAAAGGAUUUGGGUGGGGGGAGCUGAAGAAAGAAUAUUCACUUCUGUCUUUAGUCAUUAUGUUACAAUUUGCAAAUCAUUUUCACAUUCUCACUGUGAGGUGAGAGAGAUGCCUUUCUCCCUGGCUUUAUAGAUAAAGAAACUGAGGCUGGGAGAUAUUGCCUACCUGGUCUAGGCCCAGCUAGCAAGUGAUGGAGCCAGAACUUAGACACAGAUCCACUGACUGCCUAUUCUGUGUUUUCGCUAUAUUACUAGCAGUUAGGGUUCUGUUUCUAGGUCUGUUUCCUGACUACCAGGAUGGAAAGUUUUUCUCUUACCAAAUUUCGGAAGACACCUUUUUUUCUGAUUGGUUGAGAGCAUUCAGCUUGCACUAAAAAUAGGUGACUUGAUAGAGGAGGGGAGGUAGGAAGUAGUCCGGGGAAAGAUGAGUAGGGGGGAAAGGCAUCUAACAGUUCAAGAAUUUGCACGGUUGGGUGCCCAAGGAUAAGAGCCCCUGACUGCAUUCCUUCCAUUCAGAGUCAGUGUGUCCACUUUUGUGCAAGCCUAGGGCAUCUAGAAGGUUCCUGCUAAGCCACACAGCUUGCUGCCACUCCCUGGGACUUGCCAUCUUCCCUUUUCUGUUUGUGAAGGGGCACCACUGUACCUAAAUUGUUACUUACUUCCCUCUCCUUUAUCAACACACACACACAUAUUUAGUAAAUAUUUUAAGCUGUCAGGAUCAUGCAAUUUCUGUUACAACUACUCAUCUCUGCCCUUAUAACAUGAAGCAACCGAAAACAAUAUGCAAACAAAUAGACAUGGCUCUGUGCCAGUAAAAUUUAUUUACCAAAACUGGUCAGAUUUGGCCUAUGGUGUAGUUUGUUUUAUUCUGGUGUAAAUCAUUUUAAACAGGACCUUGUCUAUUCCAUUCCAAUUAGCCCUGGUUUUGUAAAACUAACAUUUCUUUAAGGACAAAUGGUUACAACUCACAAGGCUAUCCAACUUGGCUUUGCCUGUAUACAUUCUUCUGAAAAGUAUAUGUUGCAUACAAUGUUGGUUGCCUGCUCUUCAUCCAUUGCUGCAACAUUCCUUGACUUAUAAAGAUGGUCAUUUACCCAAUCACCACGAAUAAGGAUUUGUCUAAGCCAAUCAUGGCAACCUUGUUUUCAUUUGUCAGUGACUGGGUUCUGGGAAUUCUAGGAGGGGUAUUUUUUUCUCUUUGAUAAAAACUAAGAAGCACAAAAACAAGGAGAAGAUCAGUCCCUGAAGGCUCCAUGGAAGCUGAUCAGCUGCUAGGAUGAGUAGAUGAGAAACAUUUCUUUCUUCUAUAGUAAGUGGACUUUGUUCACUACUGUGAGUGAAUGUGCUUUAAGCUGCAGUAGUCACCUGUGGUUGUGAUGUGACAGGCCUGAGAAUGAAAGUGGUGGAGGCACAGAGCCAAGCCUGGGAGCACGACCACUGAACUUCUUCUGUAAAAUAAAUAAGACAUAAAUAAGAAAUGUCCUUGUGGCCCAAACUCCAAAAGAAGGAAGGCUGGCACAUAGGAAACAAAAUUUAGGAUGUUCUUGUUCCUUCUGAUUAUUUUUCUAAGGGCCUUCUAGAAUUCCUGGAAAUUAUUACCCCUUCUUCUUCCCAGCUUUGUCAGCUUUGUUCUUUGAUUCCCCAAGGCCUAGUUGGUCACGGCUUAUCCAGGUUACCACUCUCCUGCUCCCUCAGCCCCUCCCAUCUCAGUUGUGUUCACAACAGGUCUGUGUGCUGGUGCCUGUGUUGUUGGGAGUCUUUAUUUGCAGAGGACCCCAAUACCGGACUCAGUGCCAUUUCUCUCCUUCUGGCCCGUUGCUAGCCCUUAUGCAUUACUUGCCUUUUUCUCAGCUCUGUCUGAUUGGACUCAUGAGGUCCUCGGGACAGAAUCAGUCUGUGUCUCCUGAAUGCUGAGUGCCCUCUAGGUGCUUAAAUGUUGUUCACUUUUCACAGGGAAAGUCUUCAGAUGGCAGUAGGCCCACUCCUCCACAUCCUGGAGAGCAACCUGCUGAAAGCCAUGGACUCUGCCACUGCCCCCGACAAGAUCAGAAAGCUGUAUCUCUAUGCGGCUCAUGAUGUGACCCUCAUACCGCUCUUAAUGACCCUGGGGAUUUUUGACCACAAAUGGCCCCCGUUUGCUGUUGACCUGACCAUGGAACUCUACCAGCACCUAGAAUCUAAGGAGUGGUUUGUGCAGCUCUAUUACCAUGGGAAGGUAAUACCCCUGAGGUGGGGUUGGGUGAUGGUGAGGCACCCUCCUGCAAAACCCACCCACCUGAGUUAGCACCAAGUCUCCCUCCUCAGGCCCAGUGGAGUCUCCCUUGGCACAGUCAGCUCUCUGAAUCCUAUAGGGCAACUCCUGGCCAUGGCCCAGGGGUCAGGCAGAACUUGACAGAUGGUGGCAGGAUGGGGCUUGGGCCUUAUCCCAGUUCUGUUACAGACUCCUUCUAGGAACAGGGUUCCCCUCCUCUUCUCCUGAGUGUCCCUGUCAGGAUGUAGCCUCCUGACUGUGAGACCUGUUUUGGAGAUUUUUGAUGGUAUCUUUGGGAGGUGAUGUGUGCUGCUCUUAGCACCUGUGGUGUCAGCUGCUUCAUCAGGGCUGGGAUCCAGGGCAGAGGCCAGAGCACACCCCAGGGAUGAGCCUGUUGGUUCUCCCAGCUCAGGGAUGUAACUCGACUGUUUCUUCCCAGUCAAUUCAACACUUUUUGAGUGACUUUUACAAGCAGAGCAUAGUACUUUUAUUCUGGAAGCUCACCGGGUAGUGGGGCCUUCCUGUCUGUAAUAUGUAUGCACAUGUAUACCACAUGGAUCAGAGCCUCUCAGAUCUCUGGGCUUAGCUGGAAGUAGCAGAAGGACAGGCUCCUCGGCGGACCUGCUGAGUUAUGUUUCUUCUGCAGGAGCAGGUGCCGAGAGGUUGCCCUGAUGGGCUCUGCCCGCUGGACAUGUUCUUGAAUGCCAUGUCAGUUUAUACCUUAAGCCCAGAAAAAUACCACGCACUCUGCUCUCAAACUCAGGUGAUGGAAGUUGGAAAUGGAGAGUAACUGAUUUAUACAAGCAGAAUGUGUUGAUUUUAAAAUAAAGUGCCUUUAUACAAUG
rnacentral:sRNA from 1 species